rnacentral:lncRNA from 1 species
CGAGAAAUCCCUGUGGGGAAGACGGGGGCGGAGUAGCAAGAUGGGUAGCCACACGAUGGCCCAUCUCAGUCAAUAAGGAUAUAAACAGGAGAGAUAUUAAGACAGGAAAGUAUUCCAGAAAAACGGCAAACGAAGUAAGGAUAGAAAAAGAGGAAAUUAAAAAUGAUGGGGUAAUAGCGAUAGUUAAUGGGUAUUACUCUCGUUUUUAUGAUAAAGAUCCAAAAUUAAGUUGGGACGAAUUAGGAGAAACAUUGGAAGCUGUCUUCGAAGCGGUAGAAACAAAAACAGUAGUGACUACUACGUGGGGAGAUGGAUUGUUCGGAUAUCCCGACAAUAUGGCCAGGAAAAUGAUAUAUGAAGCUAUGAGGAAUUGGUUAAGCAAAGGUGCAGGACGUCGAAUUAUAUGGGUCCUACAAACCAGAGAAAAAUUUCAAGAAGCAAACACCCUCCUGUCUCUGCAUCAUACAAAAAUAGCAAAAAUACCUGAGGAGGACCUCGGCUACAAAAUAGAAGGAUUAAAGGUGUUGUCAAAGACGCGGCCAAGGUCAAAAUCAGCAGAGAGGGGCGCAAGGUCUGAUACAAUAGGAAGAGACGGAGGCAAGGGUCAAAUAAAAACAGCAAAGCCACCUCCAUAUGAAGAACCACAAGCGGGAGCAUCGCCGUACAGUACAAUAAUUACACAAAUAAUGCCUCUUACUCCCUCAGCCCCUUAUUUCACAGACGAGGGCAUAAUAGAUGCACUAAUAGAAGAGGGAGACGGAGGUCUAAGUAGUAAAUACUUAGUAACUACUGAGGAUGAGGGAGGCAGCUCCGGGAGUGAAGAGGAGGAUGAUGAAGGGCUUGUGCCUUUCAGGGAGGAUAAUGCACAACAGAUGUGGUUAGAGAGGAGAGCUGCAGAAGCCUAUCGUCAGUGUAAAGAUAAGACAAGGCCAAACAAAAAUGAGAGCAGAGAAAGAGAAGCUCUCCUAGAGAGUAAAUUAGAGCAAUUAAAAUUAAGAUAUGAAACGGCAGAGGAAGAGCAUAGGAAUGC